CGUUCUAGAAGCCGAGGUCACCAAGGGACGCAGAAUAUAAAGAUGAUGAAACUUCACCCAAGAAAAUGGAAACCCUAAUCGUGGAUAAAACUGAAAACAAUUUCAGAGAGUCUCUGCCAGAAAGCAUCAUUCCAUGAGGUUCUGGAAAUACUGAGACAUUGUUGAAAAAGUGGAGCAAGACCUUACAAAAGUGCUCGACAAUCAAGUGGCGUCUGUUCGGAAACAUAAGGAUGAUCAGGAAAUCCGAAUGAGAUAACAUCCUAAAGCAGGAUGGAAUGGCGCCAGAAACACCAUAUGGACUCAUAAAUCAGCACCUUCCUGCCUUGAAGGACAAAGAUCGGAGAUACCUGGAUAGUCAGCAAAGAGAGGAGGACCUGUAAGAUAACAGGAUGUGGUAAUCUAAUGAGAAUGAAGCAGGUGACCAUUGCUCAGUUUUAAUGAAUCCUGUGACUAUUACUCAGGUUUUUUUUUUUCUUUCUUAUUUUCUGUUUUCUUCUGGACUCCUUGUCUUCUUGGGCUAUAAAAGCCUGAGUCCUCUUUCUCACUUCUAACAUGUCUAGGAAAGAUUUCCUCUAGUUCCUUGUGUGUGCAUUCACAAUAAAAUUCACUUUC